CNUUGGCUGGAACACCUCCUAUUAGCAGAUUGCGAAUCAGUGGCUCAGCGUUGGAUCACCUCCGUUAGGAGUUAUGAAUACCAUGGACAGUCGAGGAAUCUAGACCGACUUGGACUGAGCUGGUGCCUUAACUACAUGGCAAGGUCGAAACGCAGAAAGGUACCCGUCAAUGGCGUAUCACGCUCAGAAGUGAGCAAACGCGGGUGAAGUAACACGAUGGAGUCGACCUGCACCUAU
rnacentral:rRNA from 1 species